rnacentral:rRNA from 1 species
GACGAACGCUGGCGGCGUGCCUAACACAUGCAAGUCGAACGGGGUACCUUCGGGUACUUAGUGGCGAACGGGUGAGUAACGCGUGAGGAACCUACCUUCCAGUGGGGGACAACAGUUGGAAACGACUGCUAAUACCGCAUAACACAACGAGACCGCAUGAUCUUGUUGUCAAAGCUUUAUGUGCUGGAAGAUGGCCUCGCGUCUGAUUAGCUAGUUGGUGGGGUAACGGCCUACCAAGGCGACGAUCAGUAGCCGGACUGAGAGGUUGAACGGCCACAUUGGGACUGAGAUACGGCCCAGACUCCUACGGGAGGCAGCAGUGGGGAAUAUUGGGCAAUGGGGGAAACCCUGACCCAGCAACGCCGCGUGAAGGAAGAAGGGCUUUCGGGUUGUAAACUUCUUUUACCAGGGACGAAGAACGUGACGGUACCUGGAGAAAAAGCAAAC